rnacentral:lncRNA from 1 species
UCGUCCGAUGGGUACACGAAAGUGACGAAGUUGCUUUGACUACAGAACCAUGCCUGUCUGUUGGAGCGAAUUGGAUGAUCGGGUCGAGGGCUGCCCCCUCUUCCCCUCACUCUCCUUUCCCUAAUAUGAACCUUGAGUCAUCAAAGCCUUUCUGACUCGGCCUGGCCCGGUCGCCCUACGCGACUGGCGCUUCAAAAGGCGAAACUCUCGGUCGUAGUUUGGCGACCUAUCUUCAGUAGGGGCCUUUAGUCUUUUGAUUAGAGUAGGGGUCGCGAGAGAGCAGAGCGUACCGCCCUGCCAUAGUCACGAAAUUAGAGUAA